rnacentral:lncRNA from 1 species
UUGUGUAAAAUAAUCUAAAAUUUGCCCAAACACAACAAAUCGAAAACCAUCAGGCUUUUGUCAUCACCACCAUAAAGCACAUAUGUAAUCAUUUAAUGCUUUGUCAAGACAAUAUUCAUGUGUUAGAGAGAUUGAAGGAAGAUUAAUGAAAAGAACGCCCGGCUAAAAGUUGUUCAAGAAUAGUGGCAUUAACUUUCUUGACUCUCUUCUUUCCUAGCUCCUUCCUUUUUCUUUUGAGACACCUUCAGAUGGAAGUCUACAUGAUUAACUCAAAGUAUUUGUUGAUCAAAAUUUUUCCAACCAUGUUUGUGAGCUUCGUAAACCAAUCCAUGGUCUCAAGCAGGCUUCACGUGAGAAUAGUCCCAUGUUGCUAAGGACUAAAAGAGUCAAAUGACAUAUAAUGAGUUUGAUCCAUAACUUAGUAAGUUUAAGUUUUGUAAUUGUAUUGGUCUCCGAACUCAUGUACAUUAGCCAUGACUAAAAAAAUCUGAGCCAUGACCGAAAAAAUCUGAGUAUGGUAUCAAAGUUAAGAUUUAUCAAAAUAAUAAUAAUAAACGACUGAAAAAAAAGAGAAGCAACUAGAUAUGGUUGCACCCAAGCGAAAAAAACGUCUACACACAAAAUAACCUAUCCUUAUAAGUAGAAGACAAUUAAGCCACACAUGAAGUUGCACUCAAGUGAAAAAAAAGUCUACAUGAAAUAUGACCUAUCCUUACAAAUAAGUAGAAGACAAUUAAGACACCCAUGAAUAAAAGGGGAUGCUAAGACAAUAUUUAUGAAAGAGAUUGAAAGAGGACUUAAAGAAUAAUCUCAUAUUGUUAAAGUUGAAAGAGUCAACUAAUAUACAUUGGAUUUGGUUCAUAACUUGAUAAGUUUUGCAUUGACGUUCAAUCUCAUGUGCAUCAAACCUGAAUAAUUUGAUUUAGAUUUCUUGUCAAUUUUAAAAUGUCAAUGUCUCCCAUCACUUUUCAUGCACUUGAUUGCUUCACACUCUUGGACUUUUAGAUAAGAUUUUGGUUCUUGCACUGGAUGCCUAGAAUAACCAUCCGCUCUAAUACCGUUAACUAGUAGCUUACAGCAAAAUCAGAGAUUUCGCUCACAUGUUAAUAUUGUCUUGUUAGUAUUCUUAACACAAAAGCCUUGUUUCUUUUCUUCAUAGGCAGAAUGGUGACCAACUUCAGUAAAUAUAUUACCCAUAUCAUUUCAUAAUAGCAAGAUAUAUUAUUCUUUUUGUACAGAGCGACGUGGAUUUGAUGAAGGGCAUGGGAAUGGAUGCCUACAGGUUCUCUAUCUCAUGGUCACGGAUCUUCCCAAGUAAUAUGAAGCUGGCCUAUUGGUACUAGACAUAUUUAAACCCUAUCUUGGAUAAAAUAACAGCCUUUCCUGUUCACAGAUGGAACAGGAGAACCUAAUCAAGAAGGAAUAAGCUACUAUAACAGACUCAUAGACACUCUACUACAAAAAGGUAGCUUUUAAAAAGGUUCUUUGAAGGAUCUCCUGAAGUUUUGAGGCUGAUAACUAUUAUUAUUAUUUUGUUGUUGUUACAGGAAUACAACCUUAUGUUACACUCUUCCACUGGGAUCUUCCACAAGCUCUAGAGGACCGAUACAACGGAUGGCUGAGCCAAGAGAUCAUGUAAGGAUUAUAUCGAAUCUUUAUUUAAUCGGCCACAGUGUUCAGGAAAAGAUAGGUAAAACUCACUCUAAAAUGCAGACAAGAUUUCAAGCAUUACGCCUAUACUUGUUUCAAAGCAUUUGGAGAUAGAGUGAAGCAUUGGAUCACCUUCAACGAGCCUCAUGGAUUCUCAAUUCAAGGAUAUGACACAGGUCUGCAAGCUCCGGGAAGGUGUUCUAUUCUAAUACACAUGCUAUGUCGGAGAGGCAAGUCAUCAAUUGAACCAUAUAUUGUUGCUCACAACAUCCUAUUAUCUCACGCUGCUGCUUUUCAUACAUACAAGCUCAACUUCAAGGUAAACCAUGCUUUUCUUGUCGCAGCCAACUUUUUAUUACUGGUCAAUGAAUAAGAAAAAGCAAGAUAAGAAGCUAACUUUAAUGUGUAGGAAAAGCAAAAGGGUGUUAUUGGAAUUGCUCUUGAUUCCAAGUGGUAUGAACCUAUAUCUGGUGCUAAAGAAGACCUAGAUGCUGCUAAUAGAGCCAUGGAAUUCGAACUAGGAUGGUAAUCUGCUACUGAUUUCUGAAUAUAUGAGAACCCUACUUCAUUGAUUGACAACUUACGGUGACUGUGGAUCCCCAAGCAGGUUCUUGAAUCCUCUUAUCUUUGGGGAUUAUCCUCUCUCCAUGAAGAAUCUUGUACGAAGCAGACUACCCAGAUUUACUAGUGAUGACUCUACGUCAUUGGCUGGUUCUUUGGAUUUUUUAGGCAUAAAUCACUACACCACAUUAUAUGCUCGGAAUGAUCGGACAAGAAUCAGGAAGCUGGUACUGAAUGAUGCAUUAGCUGAUGCACUUGUCAUCACGACAUGUAUGAUAGAGUCACUAAAAUACUUAAUUAAUCUUCAGCGAUAUGGAAUUUAAACUUCUAUAAUGUUUGUAACAGCUUCUCGAAAUGGAGAGAGGAUUGGUGAAAGAGUAAGUCACAAUACUUAUGCUUCUAAUCACUUUUGAACUAAUGCUCAGGUUUAGGAAUCAUCACUUAAUUAUUCUUUCAGGCUGCAUCAGGAUGGCUUCACAUUGUCCCAUGGGGUAUCCGCAAGUCAAUGAAUUAUAUCAAGGAAAACUAUGCGAACCCAUUGGUUAUAAUAACAGAGAAUGGUACAAACAAAGUGAUUGAAUCAGGAAUAUAGCUCUCCUUUUCGAGAAAUCUUACAAGAAACAUUUGGUGUUGUAGGCAUGGAUGAUCCAAAUUUCACUACCCUCGACAAAGCACUGAAGGAUGAUAAGCGGAUACGCUAUCAUGCUGACUACCUCUCAAACCUGCAAGCUGCUAUAUGGUAAUUUACUGUGCAUUAGUUCACCUGAGGGUGUCAGGAUCAGCAUAACAAUCUUCAGCUCCAUUACUUUUUUUCCUACAAUUAACUAAGAUGAAUUAAUGCAGGGAGGACGGUUGCAAUGUACAUGGCUACUUCGUGUGGUCGCUACUAGAUAAUUGGGAAUGGAACUCAGGGUUUACAGUUCGAUUUGGCCUCUACUAUGUCGACUACAAGAGCAACCUAACUAGGAUACCGAAAGCCUCAGUUCAGUGGUUCAAACACGUUCUAGAAAAGAAUGACACGCUUGCGCAGAAAGGAAUCACAUUUAAAGAUCAGAUUGGAUGACUUGUUAAUGUAGAUUCAACAAUUUACCAUCCCUUAUAUAUUUCUCUUGGUUCCAUUGAGCAGUCAAGCAUGAGAAUAGUAAACGCCAAAUGUCUGGGACCAAAGUAACAAGUUCAAAUGCAAUCAAUUUCUUGUGGGAAAUUUGGAAUAUGUAAUCAAUGAAGAGCAUCAAGAACAGAACAACCACUUUUACUGCACUGGAACUAACAGUCUAAAAUCAGAAGCGGAAAUCUCGAUGGAUUCCAAAGCACAAAGAAGGAAUCUCGAUGAAUUUACCUAAAAUUUUGGUGGGAGAAGCGAUUUAGCCUCCUCUUUUCUUGAUCACCCAAUCAACCAAAUCCCUCCCCCGUUUCGUUGCUCAGCCAACUCCAAGACGCCAUCGAAUAGCUUUUAAAGCACUAUUCCGAAUUGGGAUUCAGGGCGAUAUUGCGGCAAACCACGCCAUGUUUUCGAGGCCGACGAAGCGGGGGCGUAAACGGGUCGCAUUAUUAGGAAAAGUAAUCCGAACAAAUUAUUCGUGUU